rnacentral:piRNA from 1 species
UCUGACCUGACCUGAGUAACUUUACUUACU